GGACGAACGCUGGCGGCGUGCUUAACACAUGCAAGUCGAACGCUGAAGCCUGGCUUUUGUUGGGUGGAUGAGUGGCGAACGGGUGAGUAACACGUGAGUAACCUGCCCUCUUCUUUGGGAUAACGCCCGGAAACGGGUGCUAAUACUGGAUAUUCACUGGCCUUCGCAUGGGGGUUGGUGGAAAGGUUUUUUCUGGUGGGGGAUGGGCUCGCGGCCUAUCAGCUUGUUGGUGGGGUGAUGGCCUACCAAGGCUUUGACGGGUAGCCGGCCUGAGAGGGUGACCGGUCACAUUGGGACUGAGAUACGGCCCAGACUCCUACGGGAGGCAGCAGUGGGGAAUAUUGCACAAUGGGCGAAAGCCUGAUGCAGCGACGCCGCGUGAGGGAUGGAGGCCUUCGGGUUGUAAACCUCUUUCGCUCAUGGUCAAGCCGCAACUGUGGGUUGUGGUGAGGGUAGUGGGUAAAGAAGCGCCGGCUAACUACGU
rnacentral:rRNA from 1 species